GGCUCAGGAUGAACGCUGGCGGCGUGCCUAAUACAUGCAAGUCGAGCGAACGGACAGGAGUGCUUGCACUCCUUGAAGUUAGCGGCGGACGGGUGAGUAACACGUGGGUAACCUACCUAUAAGACUGGGAUAACUUCGGGAAACCGGAGCUAAUACCGGAUAAUAUAUACCUCCGCAUGGAGGAAUAGUCAAAGACGGUUCUGCUGUCACUUAUAGAUGGACCCGCGGUGUAUUAGCUAGUUGGUGAGGUAACGGCUCACCAAGGCAACGAUACAUAGCCGACCUGAGAGGGUGAUCGGCCACACUGGGACUGAGACACGGCCCAGACUCCUACGGGAGGCAGCAGUAGGGAAUCUUCCGCAAUGGACGAAAGUCUGACGGAGCAACGCCGCGUGAGUGAAGAAGGUUUUCGGAUCGUAAAACUCUGUUGUAAGGGAAGAACAAGUACGUUAGUAACUGAACGUACCUGACG
rnacentral:rRNA from 1 species